rnacentral:rRNA from 1 species
UACGUAGGGUGCGAGCGUUGCCCGGAUUUAUUGGGCGUAAAGGGCGCGUAGGCGGCUCGGCACGUCCGUUGUGAAAUCGCCCGGCUCAACUGGGCGGGGUCGGCGGAUACGGCCGAGCUGGAGCAAGCUGAGGGGUAAGUGGAAUUCCCGGUGUAGUGGUGGAAUGCGUAGAUAGUCGGGAGGAACACCAGUGGCGAAGGCGGUUACCUGGAGCUUUGCUGACGCUGAUGCGCGAAAGCGUGGGGAGCGAGUCCGG